rnacentral:pre_miRNA from 1 species
ACCGCUCUGGGGCACGGAGAUGGAUGGUCGACCAGUUGGAAAGUAAUUGUUCAGAAUGUACUUCACCUGGUCCACUAGCCGUCAGUGCCCACUGCCGCUGGC